UAAUAAGACAACAAAUUAAUCUGCUGUUGCAACAAGACUUCCCUACAGGUAGCCAGCUUGAGGGAGGGGGACAAGGGGAAGCAGAUUCAAAGUCCAGGCUUUGUACCCCUUCCCGCAGGAUCCCUGCGGGACCCCCCCGGCCCCUUUCCUCCCUCGCUGCACAGCCCUGGUAGACUGGAGCAGAUCUCGAAAGUCAGCGGGGGAAAGCAAGACACCCAAGCGGGGAGGAGAGAAGCGAAGAAAAGGCCGCGGCGGAUCUACUGGCUUGCAGCCGUCCCGGGGAGACGGGCCAUUAGGCAGAGGAGCCAUGGCUCAGAGCUCAGGGAGAGCAGCACCCUUUGAAAGGCUGGGUUCCCGUGAUUACCGCGGCAGCUUCGCAAGGACCCGCAGCGGAGCCCCAGACGCGAGCGAGAGCCGGGCCGAGCCCCGCUCCCUUCCCUUCCCUUCCCUCCCGGCCCGCUCCGACCGCCGGCGGCCGCGGGCGCUCUGCCUCGCCGCCUUGCAGGUGCCCCGGGCGGCCGAGCCAGCCCCUCCAUCGGCCUUUGCCUGUUCGCGCCGGUCCCGGAGGUUUCUCCCGUCCGCAGAAAGUUCAGGGCAUUGCCUAAACUCGUCCCCCACCGACUCCCUCCCCACCUCGGGAAACUUUGCUCGCCGUGCUGGCUCUGGAUCUGCGCUGUCCCCGCCUCGGGCCCCUCGGGCAGCCCAGCGCCUUGCCCGGGCUCUGCGGGGCUGGGGCGGGCGGGGGCCGGGACCGCCUCGCCCCCGAGCGGGGGCUGCCCCUGAGCCCCCCAAACCUGCUCCGCCGACGGACGCGCCUCCGGAUCGCCCCCAUCUCCCAGUCAGCAAUUUUAUGAUUUGCAAACAAAGCUUCAAACAAACCCCGCCGGAGAGGUUUUCCUCGGCGCUGCCGCUCGCGGUAAAAGCACAAUUACUCGGUUUGGUUCCCUCAAAUUAAGUAUAUAAACAGAGCUUUUAAUUAAGGGAUUUUUUAGGGGGGAAAGAACAUAGAGGUUUAAAAUACAAACCUCACCGACUGUCAGCACAGAGCCGAGCUGUUGCCUCGGCUGCCAGUCGUUUGCUGCACGGGAGGCUUGGAAAAGAAAGGCUGCGGCGAGCGCUGGGAACCGAGGCUAGAAAUCAGAGCUAACAGCGCUGGUUUUCUUUUGUCAUUUCUGAUGGAGUCGCAGGGUGAAAUAUUCCCCACCUAGACAGGGAUUCAAGUGCACAAACAGAGAGACACGUACGGGAGGCAAAUAAAAAUAUUCGCCCUUCAGAAAACCACAUCUCUUCAAUCGAUAGUUUCCCCAUAUAUAAAUGUGUGUGCACCACCUCUGUAAAUCUCAAUUUUAAACACGUUGUGUGUGAAUAUAUAUAUAUGCAUAUACACGUGCAAGCUUAUGCUUUCAUAAUCGAACCAAUCAAAUCUAUUAUAUAUGCUGUAUACUAUAUAUAAAUAUGACAAAGGUUUACCAAACAUGAAAGAAAAUUACAAAGGCAACGAAAAGGGCCUUCUAAAAGAAAAGUCUACAGAGGCAGUUUUUUGCUAUUCUGCACGGAAAAUCUUCUAAGUAAAAACUAAAAAAAAAUUUAGAAAGUUUGCAAACCCCUCUGUUCCUUUUCCCUUCUGUGUUUUUAAAGGAUCUGCCGAAGUCCCUUUGCAUCUGAGGUUUAAAUAGGGAGAUCAAUAGAAAACAGUUGUAAUGAUCUAAUUAAUUAUGGCAAAAUUAAAAGCGAGUAGAAAAUCAAUCUCUGAUGGUGUCGAAGAUGGAAUUAAAUUGAUAGUCCAUCUGUUCACCUCCUAGACCGUAUAAAUAUGCAACCCAAGGACGGAGCUAAUGGGAUCGAGCUGCCUGGGAGACUCUCUCAUUCUCUCUCUCUUCUUUUUACUUCAUUCCUUCCCGAAGUUCAGCCCCGUAGCCCCCGUGUUCCCGCUCGCAACCCUCUGUUCACCCAGAGUUCCCCCUCCCGCUGGAGACACGCAAAACGCUGCUUGUGUCGAGCAACUCAAACCGGCAGCAGUAGCCCGCAAAUCUCAGAGUACAAAGCCGUGUGAUUGGGAGGAAAAAAAGAAAGCUGAGGAGACAGCGUUCAGUGAAAGCGUGCUCCCUAUCGUGCUGUUUUUAAAUCAAACGGACAUGAUGAUGAUGACGAUGACAACGGAGUAGUUUGAGGAUGUUCUCCUCCUUCUGAGCGUCUUUUUAACAUUGGUCCUGGGUUCAGGGAAGUCAGCCCUUUCUGUAGCCGGAUUUCUAUAAAAUACUCUGUGUGUUCUGUCAGGGAGAGGCGACACGUUGAAUUAGUUUUGUUUGUCCGGUUUUCCUGACUGCGAAUCUCUAAGAGCAGAGAUCCAACGGGAGGCCCUCGGUGCCGCCCUGUCCUGGCGCUGUCCCCGUUCCCCACACCUGCCCUGUCCCUGCCAGGCCAACUUUCUCAAAGUGGGCACUGGGCAUUCCUGCGCCGGACUGUCCUCGGGCUUCUACCCGCCUGCCCACCACGGUGACAUUCUGCUGAACGACCAGCGCCACUUGAAAAUAAAGGAGAAUCG
rnacentral:lncRNA from 1 species